UGUGUCCAAACUUUUGGUCUGUACUGUAUAUAUAAACUCUUCCUUUUCCAGCUGUAUUUAGAUGUUAUCUAUUGCAAUCUUUAAAUUAUAUCUAUAUUUUCAGCUAUUAAUGGCAACGUAUCUAAAUAUACUGUAAAAAAAAAAAAAGUUGAGAACCAUUAGAGUUGGAUAAAAUGGGCUUAUUCUUUUUCAUAUUUGUUAAAAUUAUUACUGAAUUAAUAUAAAUAAUUACAUAUAAAAAUAUGAAUAUAGAUAGAUAGAUAGAUAGAUAGAUAGAUAGAUAGAUAGAUAGAUAGAUAGAUAGAUAGAUAGAUUGAUACCACAUCAAUGUACCAACUAGUACUGUGUUUAUUACCAAAUUGCAUUUCAUACUUGUAAGAAUUACAGACUGCCUCGAACCUGAUUCCACCCCACACUAUAUAUCAAAUUCAGCUCAUCUGCAAAAUGGCUUAAAAUUGAUAAAAAGUAGUUAUGUAGUUUGACAUAGAAUUUCAGUUGAAUCAAUCCUAAUCAUAGUCUCAAUUGAAUCAGUCUGGGAGAGACAGCAAGCCAUCAAGGACCAUCUUUAACCAAAAGAUGCCUGAGACCAUGAUUAUCAUUUAAACAAUAACCUAUCCUGACCCGCUGGGGGGCCGGCACCAGCAAAGGUGUAAACAACAGUGACCUCCGUCUCGAUCACCCAGCCAGCUGUUCCCUUAUGCAUGUCCUACAUUUAAUUUACAUUUAAAGGAAAACUCCGGUCUAUACUUUAAAGGGAAGAACAAUAUAAAAUAUCUGGGCAGAGUUUGCUCUGGGUUCUUUCUGACUCUGAUGAACCCAAAGUGCUUUAUGUAUUUUGUCACUGCUACGCUGUUAUAAACUUCUUCAUUACGAUCUUCGUUGUCCUCAUUAUUUUUUCUUACAUACUCUAAACCAUUUAUUACUACAGAAAUGAUACUGUAAUGCUAUAAUGCUGUAAUAUUCUUGGAGAAAACUAAUUAACAGCUUUUGACCAAUCAGAUUCAAAAGUUUUAUUUUUAUUAUUUUUUUUCUUCAGUACAAUAAAUAUUACAGGAAUGCAAAUGAGUAAAAUAAACCUCGACUUGCCUAAUGAUGUGCAUAGUUGAACAAAAUUCCAUCAGUAGCUAAAUUGCUUAUAAUCAAUUUAUCUGGAAUUUUAUAAAAUUUUAUUUAAUACUUUAUUGCAGAAAAUAUACAAUCUUGUACAAGAGAGAUAUUAAAACAAUUGUUAUUCAACCUGGUUAAAAAUUGUUAAAAACAAAAUAUAAAACCACUGAAAAGAAUUGUGCUCUUUUUGACUCCACCUCCCAUCCAAUCCCUUAUACACUAAGCCCCGCCCUCCAGAUUACACAGUGACCAAAGGCAUUUAUCCACAUUAGUCCAGCAGAUUUAAUAAAACAUGCAAAAUAUUGAUACAUCCAUUAACUCAUUUGGUCCUGGAGUUUGUAAUGUAAAUGAUAAUUAAUGAUUAGUUGUUCCCAACUGGCCAACAGUUGGCGGCUUCCUCCCCUUUGCCCUCACUAGAACCUCCAUGUUAUUAAAGCAGCUCCCAAAUUUAUUUGUAACACAAAAUACAACACAAAUAUUAAUCAGUGUACCUUUACCAGUUUCUCUGAAUCGAGAAACUUCCUGGUCCACGAGACUGGGUCCAGAUUCCUAACAACCAAAUCCAGCUGGCUCGAAGGCGCUUAAAAAGAGCGGAGACGACUGCAGACAGUGAGGAGACUAACAGGACAUGCACAUAUAAAACAGGUGCUGAUUGUCAGGUCGAUGUGCAAAAUGCUUAAGAUGACUUUUUCUCAUGGAGUUCAUGCAGUUUGGACUGCACCAUGUUCCAGUGAUGUUUAAAGAACUAUCAAAGUCCUCAAGGUCAUUUUGUUCCUAAUGCAAGGGCUUGAUAGAUAUAGACAAAAGAAAAUAUGCGAUUUUCUACAAGGACAGGAAGAACUUGCUUAUUAAACAACCAAAACCUCCCAAACUCUCUGGCGUCCAUACAUGCAGGACAUCGAUUAUUAUAUUUUUAUGUUUCAAUACAAAAAUAUAUCCUGUGUGGGUAUAAUUGUAUGUGGAUGGCGGGUCAUGGAUCAUUUGGUUGGAGGUAUAAUGUAUAAUGUAUUUUUUACCAGUGUUUACUAAGAAAUGGUAACUAGUUACACUUACUAGUUACUUCAUUCAAUUACUUUGUUGAUUACUUACACCAAAAAGUAAUGCAUUACUGUUUAAAGUAACUUUUUAGUUAAUUUUUUAAAGAACGUUCUUUAAUGUUCCCAU